rnacentral:rRNA from 1 species
AUUGAACGCUGGCGGCAUGCCUUACACAUGCAAGUCGAACGGUAACAGGUCUUCGGAUGCUGCCGAGUGGCGAACGGGUGAGUAAUACAUCGGAACGUGCCCGAUCGUGGGGGAUAACGAAGCGAAAGCUUUGCUAAUACCGCAUAAGAUCUACGGAUGAAAGCAGGGGACCGCAAGGCCUUGCGCGAACGGAGCGGCCGAUGGCAGAUUAGGUAGUUGGUGGGAUAAAAGCUUACCAAGCCGACGAUCUGUAGCUGGUCUGAGAGGACGACCAGCCACACUGGGACUGAGACACGGCCCAGACUCCUACGGGAGGCAGCAGUGGGGAAUUUUGGACAAAGGGCGAAAGCCUGAUCCAGCCAUGCCGCGUGCAGGAUGAAGGCCUUCGGGUUGUAAACUGCUUUUGUACGGAACGAAAAGACUCUGGUUAAUACCUGGGGUCCAUGACGGUACCGUAAGAAUAAGCACCGGCUAACUACGUG